rnacentral:rRNA from 1 species
CCUACGGGAGGCAGCAGUAGGGAAUCUUCCACAAUGGGCGCAAGCCUGAUGGAGCAACGCCGCGUGGGUGAAGAAGGUCUUCGGAUCGUAAAACCCUGUUGUUAGAGAAGAAAGUGCGUGAGAGUAACUGUUCACGUUUCGACGGUAUCCAACCAGAAAGCCACGGCUAACUACGUGCCAGCCGCCGCGGUAAUACGUAGGUGGCAAGCGUUAUCCGGAUUUAUUGGGCGUAAAGGGACCGCAGGCGGUUGUUUAGGUCUGAUGGGAAAGCCUUCGGCUUAACCGGAGAAGUGCAUUGGAAACUGGGAGACUUGAGUGCAGAAGAGGACAGUGGAACUCCAUGUGUAGCGGUGAAAUGCGUAGAUAUAUGGAAGAACACCAGUGGCGAAAGCGG